rnacentral:lncRNA from 1 species
AAUCACAUAAUUAUGCUUAAUUAAGGGAGUAAGGGGAGCUCCACCAGCCAAGUGUAUGCUUUUAUCUCCUCCUCCCCCAGCAGGAUAAUUAGUAAGUGAAAUGCUGCUUCAUAUAUGAGAGGUAAUUAUACUAUUUUCUCGCAGAGCUAGCCACUGAAAACUUAGCUCUUUCCUUAUUUUUUUUUUUGAACUUUCCUUGUCCUUUUUCAACAGGGGGAUUUGAAGCCCAUAUUGUUGCCAGAUUCAUAAUCUCUCAACACAUCAAUAGCUCCAAAGCUGGUUAUGAGAAUUGUACUCAAUGCCAUCACAGUGCCAACUGAGAAGACAAUGAUAGAAGCCCUGCCAUAUUCUUGUAUGGUUCUUUGUACUACCAACAGGCCAAGAAGUGAAGCAACAAAACAUAUAGCUGCAAAGAUAAGGGCAGUGUCCGUGUGCUCCAUUCCGGAUAAUAGGUACUGAAACGCAGACAUGGUAGAUGAAAAAAAGACCAUGAAGGAACAAGUUGCAGCAGUUACCUGGAAAAAUGAUGUGAAUUACUUGCUCAGGACUACUAUUGUUACUAAAACAAUAUUAAUUGAGUAGUCCCAUAACUCACCACUGGUGGUAUUCCGACAUGAAGAAGAAGUGGGCUGAUAAGCAUUCCCCCUCCAAUUCCAAAAACUCCACCAAGUAUUCCCGCUAGUAGUGCCAUUAUUGGGAAAAUGAAUCUGUUUGGCAUUCUGCUUCUUGUUGAGUCUUCCAUCUCCUUAAAGCAAGAAUUUUGAAGUUUGAGAAAAAUUUUAGUUUCCAUUAACCACAAUUAACUAACUACUUAUGCAUUAUCGUAGAUUAAAAUGGUUAAUGGAGGAGGCUAAUCUUCUUAAAUUGGUUGAAUUGAGCACCUGUUGGUUUUCAGUUUGAUUUUGGCAGUUCUGUUUUCUCAAUAGGAUGAGGAUCCAUGCAGUGAAAAUUAUUGCCAGAGGAAUUUGAAGUGAUGAGAGAAUCCAAUAUUCUACUCCACAUGGCUUCAUUGGUGCAAUGCCCUGCGUAUAAUUUGAGAUGUGAAGGAAAAUAGCCAGGUAAGUUCUCUUUCUUGUUUUAUUUUACUAACCUGAAAAUUUUUCUUUAUAUUGCUACCCACUGU